CAGCCGCCGCGGUAAUACCGGCGGCCCGAGUGGCGGUCACUAUUAUUGGGCUUAAAGCGUCCGUAGCCGGGUUGGGAAGUCCUCCGGGAAAUCUGGCCGCUUAACGGUCAGAAUGCCGGAGGAUACUCCCAGCCUAGGGGGCGGGAGAGGCCGAGGGGAUUCCCGGAGUAGGGGGGAAAUCCUAUAAUCCCGGGAGGACCACCUGUGGCGAAGGCGCUCGGCUGGAACGCGUCCGACGGUGAGGGACGAAGGCCAGGGGAGCAAACCGGAUUAGAUACCCGGGUAGUCCUGGCUGUAAACGAUGCGGACUUUGUGUCGGACAAGCUAUGAGCUUGUCCGGUGCCGGAGGGAAACCGUUAAGUCCGCCGCCUGGGGAGUACGGCCGCAAGGCUGAAACUUAAAGGAAUUGGCGGG
rnacentral:rRNA from 1 species